UCUGGCGUCUUUGGCGUCCGAGUUGUAAUUUGAAGAAGGUAUCUUUGGGGUUGGCUCUUGUCUAUGUUCCUUGGAAAAGGACGUCACAGAGGGUGAGAAUCCCGUGCGAUGAGAAGCCCGAUCCCGUGUAAAGUUCCUUCGAAGAGUCGAGUUGUUUGGGAAUGCAGCUCUAAGUGGGUGGUAAAUUCCAUCUAAAGCUAAAUAUUGGCGAGAGACCGAUAGCGAACAAGUACAGUGAUGGAAAGAUGAAAAGAACUUUGAAAAGAGAGUGAAAAAGUACGUGAAAUUGUUGAAAGGGAAGGGCUUGAGAUCAGACUUGGUAUUUUGCAUGUCUUUGCUUUCGGGCGGGGGCCUCUGCAGCUUACUGGGCCAGCAUCGGUUUGGGUGGUAGGACAAUUGCGGAGGAAUGUGGCACCGCUUCGGUGGUGUGUUAUAGCCUCUGUGGAUACUGCCUGCCUAGACCGAGGACUGCG
rnacentral:rRNA from 1 species